UACAGAGGGGGCUAGCGUUAUUCGGAAUUACUGGGCGUAAAGGGCGCGUAGGCGGCUGGAUAAGUCGGAUGUGAAAUUCCGGGGCUCAACCCCGGAGCGGCAUUUGAAACUGACUAGCUAGAGUGCAGUUAGGGUAAACGGAAUUCCACGUGUAGCGGUGAAAUGCGUAGAUAUGUGGAAGAACACCAGUGGUGAAGACGGUUUACUGGGCUGAUAACUGACGCUGAGGCGCGAAAGCAUGGGGAGCAAACAGG
rnacentral:rRNA from 1 species